rnacentral:rRNA from 1 species
UACGUAGGGGGCAAGCGUUGUCCGGAAUCAUUGGGCGUAAAGCGCACGUAGGCGGCCCUGUAAGUCCGCUGUGAAAGUCGGGGGCUCAACCCUCGAAUGCCGGUGGAUACUGUCGGGCUAGAGUGCGGAAGAGGCGAGUGGAAUUCCUGGUGUAGCGGUGAAAUGCGCAGAUAUCAGGAGGAACACCGAUGGCGAAGGCAGCUCGCUGGGCCAUUCCUGACGCUGAGACGCGAAAGCUAGGGGAGCGAACAGG